GAUGAACGCUGGCGGCGUGCCUAAUACAUGCAAGUCGGGCGAACAGACGAGGAGCUUGCUCCUCUGACGUUAGCGGCGGACGGGUGAGUAACACGUGGAUAACCUACCUAUAAGACUGGGAUAACUUCGGGAAACCGGAGCUAAUACCGGAUAAUAUAUUGAACCGCAUGGUUCAAUAGUGAAAGACGGUUUUGCUGUCACUUAUAGAUGGAUCCGCGCCGCAUUAGCUAGUUGGUAAGGUAACGGCUUACCAAGGCAACGAUGCGUAGCCGACCUGAGAGGGUGAGCGGCCACACUGGAACUGAGACCCGGUCCAGACUCCUACGGGAGGCAGCAGUAGGGAAUCUUCCGCAAUGGGCGAAAGCUUGACGGAGCAACGCCGCGUGAGUGAUGAAGGUCUUCGGAUCGUAAAACUCUGUUAUUAGGGAAGAACAAAUGUGUAAGUAACUAUGCACGUCUUGACGGUACCUAAUCAGAAAGCCACGGCUAACUACGUG
rnacentral:rRNA from 1 species